CAAAUUUAAAAUCUACCUGGUUUCCAGGUCGAGUUGUAAUUUGAAGAUACGUUUUUGACGUUCCGGGUUGAACUAAAUCCUUUGGGAUAAGGUAUCAUGGAGGGUGAGAAUCCCGUAUAUACCAACCRUAGGGAUGUUAUUUAAUACGUUUCUAAGAGUCGAGUUGUUUGGGAAUGCAGCUCUAAAUGGGUGGUAAAUUUCACCUAAUGCUAAAUAUAAGCGAGAGACCGAUAGCGAACAAGUACAGUGAUGGAAAGAUGAAAAGAACUUUGAAAAGAGAGUUAAAUAGUAYGUGAAAUUGUUGAAAGGGAAACGAUUGAAGUCMGUCMUGCCVGUGGGAAUCAACUUWGAGGAAACUCUGAGUGCACUUCUUCGCUUGGCAGGUCAACGUCGAUUUUGGAUGUCAUAAAAUGAUUGGGGGAAGGUAGCYCYYUCGGGAGUGUUAUAGCCCUUGGUAGAUGUGAUGUCUGGGAUCGAGGAUUGCAAUGGAUACCCUUUGGGGCUAGCCGCCUGAUCUCUAAUYGGUAUUGGGUUACGGAUAGCAUGCUGACCGUGAUCUAAUUAUUGGUUAAAAGGUUAG
rnacentral:rRNA from 1 species